CCGUACCAUGCUGAAUAUACCGGUUCUCGUUAGAUCACCGAAGUCAAGCAUCAUUGGGCGCGGUCAGUACUUGGGUGGGUGACCACCUUAACACCGCGUGCCGU
rnacentral:rRNA from 1 species